CAUAAGAGCAGAAGGUCCCCCUUGGGCAAAAGAGCCUGCAGCAGGGGUGUCUCUCUGGGGGACAUCCCACUCUUCCUGGGGCUGGGGGGGGGCACAGGUGAGGGAAGGUUAGAGCUGUUCUUCAGGUGGCCCAAGUGCCCAGCCCUCAAGAACAGCGACAUGUGGCAGGCUGCGCAGCUCAUAAUCUAGCUCCUGUUGCCCUGGUAACCGGCCUCAUCCAGACAGGCACCAGCCCUACGAGGGUGGUGGGGGGCUCAGCAAGAGUUGAGUCUCCAGACUGAGAUGGCCGGCAGGAUGUGUAGAGCGGUGAAGCCCAAGUUGGAGGAGAUGUUGCCCCACCUGACUCAGAGUAAAGGUGGGGGGACAGAGAGAGGCACAGAUCAGGGCUAUGGCUGGGUCAGGACACGCCUCACAGAAGCGAGGCCUCCUUUCCCCACCCAGCUUCCCUAGCCUGCCUGCCUUCCUCAGCCACCUGUCUCUGGACCUCACUGUAUUAACCCAACACCUGCCCAGCCAGAGGUGCGGAGAACUCUGAAGAACUAGGAGGACUCUGGAUCGCUCCAGCCAGCCAGAAUGCAAGCUAACACGUUCUGCUACCUUCGUGUUGGGAAGAGAAGCCCGUGUAACUAAACAAAGAACUUAGUGGCCUUGCCCAGCUGUGGAAUGGCAACCUCUGGGGCCCAGGCUGCCCGCCAGGCACUGGCUUCUCUCUGGUUCCAAAUUCCAAGCUGUUGUCCUUUCCUGGCACUGGAACAGAUCCUGUGCUUGCUCUUCUGCACCACUCAGCUCAGCCUCCCUGAGCAGGGAAGGGCUUAGGCUCAACAGAAUUGGGCCAAGGAACGAGACCAUAAACACCACCGUGAAAGAAACGUUUAAAGAAACAAACUCCAGCUACUGAAAGAGACCAGAGGUACGCAGACACAGUGGAAAGCAUUCUGUGUAAGUG